rnacentral:rRNA from 1 species
UACGGAGGGGGCAAGCGUUGUUCGGAAUUAUUGGGCGUAAAGGGCGCGUAGGCGGCCGACCAAGUCGGGUGUGAAAUCCCUCGGCUCAACCGAGGAACUGCAUUCGAUACUGGUUGGCUAGAGUCCGGGAGGGGAUGGUGGAAUUCCCAGUGUAGCGGUGAAAUGCGUAGAUAUUGGGAAGAACACCGGUGGCGAAGGCGGCCAUCUGGACCGGCACUGACGCUGAGGCGCGAAAGCCAGGGGAGCGAAAUGGG